UACAGAGGGUGCGAGCGUUGUCCGGAAUCACUGGGCGUAAAGCGCACGCAGGCGGAUUGAUAAGUCAGGGGUGAAAUCCCGGAGCUCAACUUCGGAAUUGCCUUUGAUACUGUCAAUCUCGAGUCCGGGAGAGGUGAGUGGAAUUCCUAGUGUAGAGGUGAAAUUCGUAGAUAUUAGGAAGAACACCAGUGGCGAAGGCGGCUCACUGGCCCGGUACUGACGCUCAUGUGCGAAAGCGUGGGGAGCAAACAGG
rnacentral:rRNA from 1 species